GCCUCGGUGGCUUAGUGGUCAAGAUGCUCGCCUGGUAAACAGGAGGGCGCGGGUUCGAUCCCAGCCGAGGCA
rnacentral:tRNA from 1 species